rnacentral:rRNA from 1 species
UGGGGAAUAUUGGACAAUGGGCGAAAGCCUGAUCCAGCCAUGCCGCGUGUGUGAAGAAGGUCUUCGGAUUGUAAAGCACUUUAAGCUGGGAGGAAGGGCAUUAACCUAAUACGUUAGUGUUUUGACGUUACCGACAGAAUAAGCACCGGCUAACUUCGUGCCAGCAGCCGCGGUAAUACGAAGGGUGCAAGCGUUAAUCGGAAUUACUGGGCGUAAAGCGCGCGUAGGUGGUUUGUUAAGUUGAAUGUGAAAGCCCCGGGCUCAACCUGGGAACUGCAUCCAAAACUGGCAAGCUAGAGUAUGGCAGAGGGUGGUGGAAUUUCCUGUGUAGCGGUGAAAUGCGUAGAUAUAGGAAGGAACACCAGUGGCGAAGGCGACCACCUGGGCUAAUACUGACACUGAGGUGCGAAAGCGUGGGGAGCAAACAG